GGGUUGUGAGGUUAAGCGACUAAGCGUACACGGUGGAUGCCCUGGCAGUCAGAGGCGAUGAAGGGCGUGCUAAUCUGCGAUAAGCGCCGGUAAGGUGAUAUGAACCGUUAUAACCGGCGAUACCCGAAUGGGGAAACCCAGUGUGACUCGUCACACUAUCAUUAACUGAAUCCAUAGGUUAAUGAGGCGAACCGGGGGAACUGAAACAUCUAAGUACCCCGAGGAAAAGAAAUCAACCGAGAUUCCCCCAGUAGCGGCGAGCGAACGGGGAGGAGCCCAGAGCCUGAAUCAGUAUGUGUGUUAGUGGAAGCGUCUGGAAAGGCGCGCGAUACAGGGUGACAGCCCCGUACACAAAAGCGCAUAUGCUGUGAGCUCGAUGAGUAGGGCGGGACACGUGGUAUCCUGUCUGAAUAUGGGGGGACCAUCCUCCAAGGCUAAAUACUCCUGACUGACCGAUAGUGAACCAGUACCGUGAGGGAAAGGCGAAAAGAACCCCGGCGAGGGGAGUGAAAAAGAACCUGAAACCGUGUACGUACAAGCAGUGGGAGCACCCUUCGGGGUGUGACUGCGUACCUUUUGUAUAAUGGGUCAGCGACUUAUAUUCUGUAGCAAGGUUAACCGUAUAGGGGAGCCGGAGGGAAACCGAGUCUUAACCGGGCGUUAAGUUGCAGGGUAUAGACCCGAAACCCGGUGAUCUAGCCAUGGGCAGGUUGAAGGUUGGGUAACACUAACUGGAGGACCGAACCGACUAAUGUUGAAAAAUUAGCGGAUGACCUGUGGCUGGGGGUGAAAGGCCAAUCAAACCGGGAGAUAGCUGGUUCUCCCCGAAAGCUAUUUAGGUAGCGCCUCGUGAACUCAUCUCCGGGGGUAGAGCACUGUUUCGGCUAGGGGGCCAUCCCGGCUUACCAACCCGAUGCAAACUGCGAAUACCGGAGAAUGUUAUCACGGGAGACACACGGCGGGUGCUAACGUCCGUCGUGAAGAGGGAAACAACCCAGACCGCCAGCUAAGGUCCCAAAGUCAUGGUUAAGUGGGAAACGAUGUGGGAAGGCCCAGACAGCCAGGAUGUUGGCUUAGAAGCAGCCAUCAUUUAAAGAAAGCGUAAUAGCUCACUGGUCGAGUCGGCCUGCGCGGAAGAUGUAACGGGGCUAAACCAUGCACCGAAGCUGCGGCAGCGAACGUAUCACUUAAAGCGAUUCAGCGGGUUACGAUUGACGGAGCGAAGCGACGUCAAAGCGUAUACAAAGUCGAGUCGGUUUAAGGAUACGUUCGUUGGGUAGGGGAGCGUUCUGUAAGCCUGUGAAGGUGUGUCGUGAGGCAUGCUGGAGGUAUCAGAAGUGCGAAUGCUGACAUAAGUAACGAUAAAGCGGGUGAAAAGCCCGCUCGCCGGAAGACCAAGGGUUCCUGUCCAACGUUAAUCGGGGCAGGGUGAGUCGACCCCUAAGGCGAGGCCGAAAGGCGU
rnacentral:rRNA from 1 species